UGAACUAGGGCGUGGCUUAUACCCCUGUUGUCCCUGGAACGAGGUUCCCAUGGUGCAUCAUGUGGGUGCAAGUGCGGUCACAGUACGAUAGAGGCCGGGAGUGUGGAGCAUUGCAUGCCAAGGGAAGUUUGGACCUGACACGUGCCUGGGAAUUGAUGGGGACGGCCGACACAGGAAGCGACCCUUGUGGUGCGCGGAUGUCGUGAGAUUAGGUUCACCAUGCAUGGUUAAGAAACUCG
rnacentral:lncRNA from 1 species